ensembl:lncRNA
UGUCAUGCAAAAUAUGAAACCUCCUGCAAAGCACUGAGCAAUUAGAUGAAGGCAGAGAGGAGAGACGGACUGUGUCGUGCGUGUGCCUGUGCGUGUGCGUGUGCAAGAGUGAGUAAGAGACCCGGGGAAACGUCAUCUGCCUGGACCGGACUACCGGACUGCCAGCAUACGAGCACCGGCCGGGAGGGAGGAGGGACAGUGGCUCCACUGUGCAGCCGGACAGAGAGGCACUGUGCUCGGACAGGAAGCCGCCGCAGCUCCCGGGGUCUGGAUGCUGGAGGACGCCGCGGAAAGUGACACCAGGAGCAGUUGUUUAGACUGACGGACGAAGAAGAUGGCUUCUUCUCCGGUCACCCCGGCCUCGCUCGAAGGAGGGACACCUUCACCCACCGGAAAUGAGGAGACCACCGCGACCACCCGACAGAUCUUCCCUGAAACCACCCCCACAUUUACCCCGCUGUACAUGAUGUUGCACCGCUGCUCCAUGCUGAACUGGGAUUGGCAAAAUCCUGGAUUAGAGCAUCCAUAAUCUGGUUGCUGUGGCGCUAUGGGACACUGCAGCUCGGCAGAGAUACCAAUCCCAUCGCCAUGGUAACCACAAGAGGGAGAAUCCACCGUAGAGAGCAGCAGCAGGAUUGGACGUGGAGACACUCACACUCGGUUAAUGGCACAUUAGUGGCGGGAGGAGACGCAGGACUUCACUGCUGCUUUAUUUAAUUCUGUUUUCUGCUGUAAUUAAAUAGAAAUCUGUGUUUAAUCCUGAAUCACCUGAGUCUGUAAGAUCUGGACGAUCAAAACCCUGAAUCCAUCAUCCAAAGUUGGAAGCUCACCUCAGCGUAGCAGAUGAUAGUGUGGCUUAGUUAUGCAAGAAGAAAAGAUCACCCAAAGGCGCUUAGCCGGAGACAGACAGGACACAUCCUGAAAAAAAAAGCAAAAAAAACCCGAUCUGCCUCAACAUCUUUUCACAGAAGUCAACAUUUAGCUACUUUAGGUCUUAACAGACGACUCUGUCUUUCUUUUGCAUAAAAGCGUCUCAUAUUCUCACCUGUUUCCACUGGUUUCCUGCCAGAUAACGGUUUUAUUUAUUGGGAGAUUUGUUUCUGUAAAGCAUAGAUGAGUCAUUAUGGAGGGACAGUAACAGAA